UACGUAGGGUGCGAGCGUUAUUCGGAAUUACUGGGCGUAAAGCGUGCGCAGGCGGUUUUGUAAGUCAGAUGUGAAAUCCCCGGGCUUAACCUGGGAAUGGCAUUUGGGACUGCAAGGCUGGAGUGCGGCAGAGGAGACUGGAAUUCCUGGUGUAGCAGUGAAAUGCGUAGAUAUCAGGAAGAAUACCGAUGGCGAAGGCAGGUCUCUGGGCUGACACUGACGCUCAUGCACGAAAGCGUGGGGAGCAAACAGG
rnacentral:rRNA from 1 species